rnacentral:rRNA from 1 species
AUUGAACGCUGGCGGCAGGCCUAACACAUGCAAGUCGAGCGAGCGGCGGACGGGUGAGUAAUGUAUGGGGACUGCCCGAUAGAGGGGGAUAACUACUGGAAACGGUAGCUAAUACCGCAUACUAUCGGAUAAUCCAGAUGGUAUUAGCUAGUAGGUGAGGUAAUGGCUCACCUAGGCGACGAUCCCUAGCUGGGCUGAGAGGAUGAUAAGCCACACUGGGAAUGAGAAACGGCCCAGACUCCAACGGAGGCAGCAGUGGGGAAUAUUGCACAAUGGGCGCAAGCCUGAUGCAGCCAUGCCGCGGGUAUGAAGAAGGCCCUAGGGUUGUAAAGUACGUUCAGUCGGGAGGCGUUACCGACAGAAGAAGCACCGGCUAACUCCGUGCCAGCAGCCGCGGUAAUUC